UACGGGGGGGGCAAGCGUUGUUCGGAAUUACUGGGCGUAAAGGGCUCGUAGGUGGCCAACUAAGUCAUACGUGAAAUCCCUCGGCUUAACCGGGGAACUGCGUCUGAUACUGGAUGGCUUGAGUUUGGGAGAGGGAUGCGGAAUUCCAGGUGUAGCGGUGAAAUGCGUAGAUAUCUGGAGGAACACCGGUGGCGAAGGCGGCUAUCUGGACUGUGAUUGACGCUGAGGCGCGAAAGCGUGGGGAGCGAACAGG
rnacentral:rRNA from 1 species